rnacentral:rRNA from 1 species
UUUUUUGAGAGUUUGAUCCUAGCUCAGGAUGAAUGCUGGCGGCGUGCCUUAGGCAUGCAAGUCAAGGGGGUUCGUAGCAAUACGAACAACCGGCAGACGGGUGAGUAACGCGUAGGAAUCUACCUCUAGGUGGAACAUAGCCCUCCGAAAGGAGGGGUAAUUUUCCAUAGUUCUCGUAAGAGUAAAGGUCUUAACGGACCGCCAAGAGAUGAGCCUGCGUCCUAUCAGCUUGUUGGUGGGGUAAAUGCCUACCAAGGCGAUGACGGGUAGCUGGACUGAGAGGUCGAUCAGCCACAACUGCACUGAAACACGGGCAGUACAUCUACGGAUGGCAGCAACUAGGAAUAGUUCGCAAUGGACGAAAGUCUGACGACGCGACGCCGCGUGAAGGAUGAAGGCCUAUGGGUCGUAAACUUCUUUUGAUGAUUCUUUCACAGAUCAUAGAAUAAGCCUCUACUAACUACGUGCCAGAAGUCUCGGUAAUACGUAGGAGGCAAGCAUUAUCCGGAUUUAUUGGGCGUAAAGUGUGCGUAGGCGGUUUGAUAAGUCUAUUCUUAAAUACCGAAGCUUAACUUCGGGCCUGGAAUAGAUACUACCAAACUUGAGGAUUGUUAGGGAUGCUAGAACAGUUAGUGUAGCAGUGAAAUGCGUUGAUAUUAACUGGAAUACCAAAGGCGAAGGCAGGCAUCUGGGAUUUUCCUGACGCUGAGGCACGAAAGCCGGGGGAGCGAAACAGAUUAGAGACCUGUGUAGUCCUGGCUGUAAACGAUGUCCGCUAGCUGUCACUUAAUCAAGUACAUAAAUAUUUGUGUGUUUGAUUAAGUGGCGGUGUAAGCUAACGCGUUAAGCGGACCGCCUGGGGAGUACGGUCGCAAGACUAAAACUCAAAGGAAUUGACGGGGACCCGCACAACCUGUGGAGCGUGUGGUUCAAUUCGAGACAAAACGAAGAACCUCACCAGGGUUUGACAUAGUACCGUUUAUGCUUUUGGAAACAUUAGCAAAUCCGUAAGGAUGGUAUUACAGGUGCUGCAUGGCUGUCGUCAGCUCGUGCCGUGAGGUGUUCCCUUAAGUGGGGAAACGAGCGCAACCCCCGCCAAAUGUUAAAUAUUCAUUUGGGACUAUCCUGUAUUUUUUACAGGGGGGAAGGAGGGGAAGACGUCAAGUCAGCACGGCCCUUAUACCCUGGGCCACACACACACUACAAUGGCGAAUAACAACGUGUUGCAAGCCAGCGAUGGCAAGCUAAUCACUAAAAUUUCGCCUCAGUUCAGAUUGGAGUCUGAAAUUCGACUCCAUGAAGCCGGAAUAGGUAGUAAUCGCGGAUCAGCAAGCCGCGGUGAAUACGUUCUCGGGUCUUGUACACACCGCCCGUCAAGGCAGCAAAGUCGGGAGUGGCCGAACACUUCGCAAGAGGUGGAGGCCAAAUUCGGCGAUGAAGCUUAAGUCGUAACAAGGUAUCCCUACCCGAAGGUGGGGAUGGAUCACCUCCUUU